rnacentral:rRNA from 1 species
AGUGAACGCUGGCGGUAUGCCUAACACAUGCAAGUCGAACGGCAGCACAGUAAGAGUUUGCUCUUACGGGUGGCGAGUGGCGGACGGGUGACGAAUACAUCGGAAUCUACUUUUUCGUGGGGGAUAACGUAGGGAAACUUACGCUACUACCGCAUAUGACCUACGGGUGAAAGCAGUGGAUCUUCGGACCUUUCGCGUUUGAAUUAGCUGGUGCCGGAUUAGCUAGUUGGCUGGGUAAAGGCCCACCAAGGCAACGAUCCGUAGCUGGUCUGAGAGGAUGAUCGGCCACACUGGAACUGAGACACGGUCCAGACUCCUACGGGAGGCAGCAGUGGGGAAUAUUGGGCAAUGGGCGAAAGCCUGAUGCAGCCAUACCGCGUGAGUGAUGAAGGCCUUCGGGUUGUAAAGCCCUUUUGUUGGGAAAGAAAAGCAGCAGAUUAAUACCCCGCUGUUCUGACGGUACCCAAAGAAUAAGCACCGGCUAACUUCGUG